AAACCUCAUGUUGGAAAGAAGACCAGCUGAAUUUAAGCAUAUCA
rnacentral:rRNA from 1 species